rnacentral:lncRNA from 1 species
GGAAGAAAUGGGUCACAAGCCGAGGGAGUUUGUGGUUGACGUCACCAAUAGGCCUAGUAUGAUUGCAAUGAAUAAUGUCGUCCAUAGGCGUUGGUCGGAUGAUAUGGAUAAUUAUCCUGAGUUUUCUUUUUGAGUUGUUCUCCUUCGCUUUUAAAGUUUUGUGCCCUUAGUCUGCGUCUUUGUGCUUUCAAGGGAUGUUUUUUCUUUUUCACUUUUUUUUAAUAAAUCUCAAUUUAAUAAU